rnacentral:lncRNA from 1 species
UGUGGGCCUUUAGAACAAAACAAAAGUGAAAAGUAACCAAUUUUCCAGACAUUGCUAAAAAUUCUCUGUGUGGGAACCCACCUUUCCCCUCUGACUGGCAGACUUUGGUGGGAGAGAAGACAAGAAAAAGCAUGAGAUCCAUGUGGAGAGGGAGGAGCCAUACUGCCAGGGUACUGGAAUCUAUUGUUGGCAGAGCCACUCAUGUCCCGAGUGACCACGGACCACAGCAGCUGCCUGUCUGCCUGUUACCCCAAGCAUGCGAAUUGAAUAGUGCUACCCUGCAAGUAUUGUGGCACUGCCAGCUUCACUUCAGCAAGAAAACACAACUCCUCAAAGAUGAACAACAACUGGGAUUCACAUCCAAGGCAGGCUGGGUAAUUCUUAUCAGCCAUGCAGGGCUGCUUCCAUUGCCAACACUUCCAGAUCACAGAUUGCAGCCACUUGUGAGUGAGGAAAGCUGAAAUUAAAGAUACAAUGGACAAAGACUCAGGAGUUUGACUGUGAGCAUGUGCAGCAAGAGAGAUUUAGAAUUCUCUGUAAUUAAUGUAGCAAGCUUCAAGGAAAUGGAUUUUUAUGGCUUUGGGAACUAAUCUGACAAACGAAUUAAAUCAAGCAAGGGUUAUUGGUUUGGAAUCCCUGGGUGAAAAGAGUUUUCUGACUCGGAAUCCAGGGAGCAACCUGAAGUCAGAGAUACAUGGGCACUGCCAUUGCCUUAUAUGCCCAAGGCCCUGCUGAUGAUUUUGGUGCAAGAACCAGGAGAGUUCAAUGUCUGCAAACAUUGCUCUGAGGCCAUGGUUCUCAUCUAGUAACUGGAGGGGUCUUAGAAACUAUUAGUGCCUGGACUUCAUUCCCAG